UGGGGAAUAUUGGACAAUGGGCGCAAGCCUGAUCCAGCCAUGCCGCGUGAAGGAUGAAGUAUUUCGGUAUGUAAACUUCGAAAGAAUAGGAAGAAUAAAUGACGGUACUAUUUGUAAGGUCCGGCUAACUACGUGCCAGCAGCCGCGGUAAUACGUAGGGACCAAGCGUUGUUCGGAUUUACUGGGCGUAAAGGGCGCGUAGGCGGUGUGUCAAGUCAGUUGUGAAAUCUCCGAGCUUAACUCGGAACGGUCAACUGAUACUGUCGCGCUAGAGUGCAGAAGGGGCAAUCGGAAUUCUUGGUGUAGCGGUGAAAUGCGUAGAUAUCAAGAGGAACACCUGAGGUGAAGACGGGUUGCUGGGCUGACACUGACGCUGAGGCGCGAAAGCCAGGGGAGCAAACGGGAUUAGAUACCCUUGUAGUCCCUGAGCGGGCUGGCAAGGCGCAU
rnacentral:rRNA from 1 species